rnacentral:rRNA from 1 species
GAUGAACGCUGGCGGCGUGCCUAAUACAUGCAAGUCGAGCGAACAGACGAGGAGCUUGCUCCCCUGACGUUAGCGGCGGACGGGUGAGUAACACGUGGAUAACCUACCUAUAAGACUGGGAUAACUUCGGGAAACCGCAGCUAAUACCGGAUAAUAUAUUGAACCGCAUGGUUCAAUAGUGAAAGACGGCUUUGCUGUCACUUAUAGAUGGAUCCGCGCCGCAUUAGCUAGUUGGUAAGGUAACGGCUUACCAAGGCGACGAUGCGUAGCCGACCUGAGAGGGUGAUCGGCCACACUGGAACUGAGACACGGUCCAGACUCCUACGGGAGGCAGCAGUAGGGAAUCUUCCGCAAUGGGCGAAAGCCUGACGGAGCAACGCCGCGUGAGUGAUGAAGGUCUUCGGAUCGUAAAGCUCUGUUAUUAGGGAAGAACAAAUGUGUAAGUAACUAUGCACGUCUUGACGGUACCUAAUCAGAAAGCCCCGGCUAACUACGUG